AAUUAACUCAAGGUCACUGUGGCUUUGAUGGAGUCCCGUAAAUAAAAUCAAUAAGUCAGAAAGCAAGCCUCAAUAAGUCAGAAAGCAAGCCAAGUCAGGACAGGUUGCAUGUUUCUACUACCACCUUGCAUGUUUCUACCACCACCUUUGCACACCCUUGGAGCACCACCUCGGCAUCCACAUCAACAUCAGCUGGCCACCUCACCACCACUCCAACCAAUGGAAGCACGCCAACCAGGAUGAAGUCAAGCAUAAGGAGCCGACCA
rnacentral:lncRNA from 1 species